rnacentral:misc_RNA from 1 species
CAAAAUUACUGUAUCUCUCGCGUUGAAUUCACGUCGAUAGCGGCGAGAAUAUUUUUAGGUGGCAACGGUAUGUGGCAUCGACGAUUAUACCACCGCUGUGAGCAACUAUCCGAAGAAAAGAUCUCUGAACGUCGAAGAAGAAGAAAAAACGGAUUAGAGGUUUUCAAAGAUCUCCACGUUUCGAAGAAUAGCUAUUUCGGAUGACCGUGACAAAUCGUUACUACGAGACUAAAGCAACAAAACUAUGAGUCACGAUACCAGAUAUUCAAAUAAACAUAAACCAUAAAAAAUAAUAUAGUCCAUUCUCAGCAGGUCAAAGAGAGAGAGAGAGAGAGAGAAGCCAAGCGUUUGCAGUAGCUGAAAG